CCUACGGGAGGCAGCAGUGGGGAAUAUUGCACAAUGGGGGAAACCCUGAUGCAGCGACGCCGCGUGAGUGAAGAAGUAUCUCGGUACGUAAAGCUCUAUUAGCAGGGAAGAAAAUGACGGUACCUGACUAAGAAGCCCCGGCUCACUACGUGCCAGCAGCCGCGGUAAUACGUAGGGGGCAAGCGUUAUCCGGAUUUACUGGGUGUAAAGGGAGCGUAGACGGCAGCACAAGUGUGGAGUGAAAUCCCGGGGCUUAACCCCGGAACUGCUUUGGAAACUGUGCGGCUGGAGUGCAGGAGGGGUAGGCGGAAGUCCUGGUGUAGCGGUGAAAUGCGUAGAUAUUAGGAGGAACACCGGUGGCGAAGGCGGCUUACUGGACUGUAACUGACGUUGAGGCUCGAAAGCGUGGGGAGCAAACAGGAUUAGAUACCCGGGUAGUC
rnacentral:rRNA from 1 species